CGGGUGUGCUCAGAGCAAAGGGCUUAAAGAAUGACUACGGUGUUUACAACACAUCCAACAGAAAUCUGGAGCCACUGUGAUAAGAAGAAAAGCUGUGUGCAAAUAGCCUACAAAG